AGACUAAGAAGAAGGGAGCACCAGGGACCUCCGCUCUGUUAAGACUGAAGAAUAUCCCCAAAACACAGCCCAUGAUGAGGUGGUGAAGGCCGUGGAACCCUUCGGAAAGAUCAACACAGUCAUCCAGCUCAAGCCCAUACAGCAGGCAUCCGUGUUGUUUGAGAGGGAGGAGGAUGCUAAGAAGCUGGCUAGCUGUAAGAACCUGACCAUCAAAGGCCAGACCGUCACCGUACUAACGGAGAAAGAUGCUCUGCUGGACGACUCCAAGGAACUGAGCCAAACCAACAAGUCUACCGAUGAAAAACAAUAUCGUGAUGCCGGGGCUUCCUCCUGAAGUG